GUCGCCGCCCGCCCGGUGACAUGGAUGUCCGACACCGUAGACUCCUGCAGCGGGGACUGAAGGUGGUCGUUGACAAGUAAAUUAAUGUUGUUGAUGUGAUGAAAGGAGAAAGGACACGAUGGCUGACAAUCUUAUGCAGUCACCCGAGAACUGGACUGAAUCUCAAGUGAGCACCUGGCUACGA